UGCAUGUCUCAGUACAAGCCACAUUAAGGUGAAACCGCGAAAGGCUCAUUAAAUCAGUUAUGGUUCCUUAGAUUGUACCCACAUUUACUUGGAUAACUGUGGUAAUUCUAGAGCUAAUACAUGCAAAUAGCAUCUCCGACCGGAGACGGAAGGAGAGCUUUUAUUAGAUCAAAACCAAUCGGCGGCGGCUUCGGUCGUCGUCGUACAAUUUGGUGACUCUGAAUAACUUUAGGCUGAUCGCACGGUCUAGCACCGGCGACGCGUCUUUCAAAUGUCUGCCUUAUCAACUGUCGAUGGUAGGUUUUGCGCCUACCAUGGUUGUAACGGGUAACGGGGAAUCAGGGUUCGAUUCCGGAGAGGGAGCCUGAGAAACGGCUACCACAUCCAAGGAAGGCAGCAGGCGCGCAAAUUACCCACUCCCGGCACGGGGAGGUAGUGACGAAAAAUAACGAUACGGGACUCAUCCGAGGCCCCGUAAUCGGAAUGAGUACACUCUAAAUCCUUUAACGAGGAUCAAUUGGAGGGCCAGUCUGGUGCCAGCAGCCGCGGUAAUUCCAGCUCCAAUAGCGUAUAUUAAAGUUGUUGCGGUUAAAAAGCUCGUAGUCGAAUUUGUGUCCCGCGCCGCUGGUUCAUCGCUCGCGGUGUCCAACUGGCGUGUCCGCGGGACGUCCUGCCGGUGAGCUCAGCCCGCAAGGGCGGCUCAACUUUAAAUCCCAUCGCGGUGCUCUUCAUUGAGUGUCGAGGUGGGCCGGCACGUUUACUUUGAACAAAUUAGAGUGCUUAAAGCAGGCUAAAAUUUUGCCUGAAUACUGUGUGCAUGGAAUAAUGAAAUAGGACCUCGGUUCUAUUUUGUUGGUUUUAAGAACCCCGAGGUAAUGAUUAAUA
rnacentral:rRNA from 1 species